UGUUUGGAUCCAGGGGUGGUACUGUUGUCGACGACGGAAGUCACAACACCACCCCAUUUGGUUCCAUGGUUCGUUGCGGGUGAGAGUGCAGCUGAAGAGAAAGUUGAGGGAAUGUUGUUUCUUCUGAAAGCUGAAGAGAAAGUUUCACUGUGCAGUGGAAGUGCCAAAUCAUCACCACGCAUUUCCAAUCUUGCCCUUACUUUUUUGUUGGAUUCAAGAAGCACAGUGCCUCUGCAUGCAUGCCAAGUGAAAAGCAA
rnacentral:lncRNA from 1 species